CCUUUCCCCCUCAGCACGUUCUUUCUCUCCCUCGGUGCUUCCUCUCCCGGUCUCCAGGGACACAGCUCUGGAGCAACCCGUUUCAGGGCUGUCAUCCAACUGGAAAAGUCCCGAGAGCUGGCGGCGGGGGGGGGGCGCAGCUCAGAGCCGGCCGGGUCCGGGUCCGCCUGGCCAGGCCUCCCGGGGACCCCAGCCCCACCCGACCAGAAGCCAGCGCGUGGCCAAGGUCUUCCGCGCCUUCGCCGCCUUCCCGGGUGGCCGCGGGGAGGAACUCGGGCCUGGAGGCGCCUUGGGAGAGAAGGGGCCGGGUCGGGCCUGGGCGAGGAGGACGGUCCCCGGCCGCGGGCAGCGUCCCGGGCAGCGUGGUCCCGCUAACCUCACCCGGGCAGCGCCUGCCUCGGGAUCCUCCCGUUUGCUCUGGGCCAGGGGGACCCCGGAUUAGAGGACUCCCGGAAGAUAAGGCUGCGGCCCGGGCCUGCACCGGCUGGGACAGCGCAGGAAGUGACAGACCUGAUGGAUCCCCGCCACCCCGCAGGGCAGAUGCACAAACAAACACGCAUGGACAGUCUAUAGCCACGCUUACACUGAAUGCCAUCCCUUCUGCUCAG
rnacentral:lncRNA from 1 species